rnacentral:tRNA from 1 species
AGUAUGAUGCCUGAAUAAAGGACUAUUUUGAUAGAAUAGAUAAUGCACCAUGUGCUCUUACU